rnacentral:sRNA from 1 species
AAUGUAAUUAUUUUACUAAUACCCUAAUUACUUCAUCGCUUCUGUAUAUAUAUGUGUAGUUUCACACUCUAUCAAAUAUAAGAAAUAUUCAGCCUCUAUAUGGUAUCAGAGCAACAUUUCUAAAAACCUAAAACAAAUUGACGAUAGGUGGAGAGGCUCAUAUUUAUAUAUACUACUUAAGAUCCUAUUCAACUUCCGAUGUGAGACAAUAUCUCUAAUACGCCCCUUCGAGAUGAUGGUUCUUCUAGCCAUUGAUCUCGAUAUGUUCGGGCAUGGAUCAGCGGGCCUAAUAUUGAGCCUGACCGAUGUGGAUUAGGUUGAGUAUGUGCGGAUCGGGCUCUGAUAUCAUAUUAGAUUGUUGGCUUCCAACCUAAAAUCAAUUGGCGAUAGGUGGAGAUGCCCAUAUCUUAUAUAUACCACUUAAGAUCCUAUUCAACUUCCGAUGUGCAACAAUAUACCUAAUAGACCAUACACUUAAAUUGUAAAAUUAAUCAAUUUUCGUUGCAGAAAUAAUUUAUGCCUAAACUAGAAUUCCAAAUUUCUUUGAAAAUUUAAUAGAUUAGCUAGACAAGCAUUAACA